rnacentral:rRNA from 1 species
UUGAACGCUGGCGGCAGGCCUCACACAUGCAAGUCGAGCGGAUGAAGGGAGCUUGCUCCUGGAUUCAGCGGCGGACGGGUGAGUAAUGCCUAGGAAUCUGCCUGGUAGUGGGGGAUAACGUCCGGAAACGGGCGCUAAUACCGCAUACGUCCUGAGGGAGAAAGUGGGGGAUCUUCGGACCUCACGCUAUCAGAUGAGCCUAGGUCGGAUUAGCUAGUUGGUGGGGUAAAGGCCUACCAAGGCGACGAUCCGUAACUGGUCUGAGAGGAUGAUCAGUCACACUGGAACUGAGACACGGUCCAGACUCCUACGGGAGGCAGCAGUGGGGAAUAUUGGACAAUGGGCGAAAGCCUGAUCCAGCCAUGCCGCGUGUGUGAAGAAGGUCUUCGGAUUAUAAAGCACUUUAAGUUGGGAGGAAGGGCAGUAAGUUAAUACCUUGCUGUUUUGACGUUACCAACAGAAUAAGCACCGGCUAACUUCGUG